GUAAAAAGGUGAGCCAAACUGACCAAGGCUGCGCGUCGUUCCUUUCUUUGCUUCUGCUGAAGGUUUGAUUGACAGCAGAGAGGCCAGCUGUCAGACUCUCAGCCUCUCUCUCUGCGGAUCUUCGUCACUCUGUCGUCGUGUCUGUGACUUUUUCCUGUCUGUAUUUGCUUCACGUUGAGCCUCACGCACAAUACCUGAAGAUGAAGUUUUGUUCGUUCGGCUCGCGUUAUGCAGGUACGGGUUGGCAACUGGAAAAAGGCACAAAAUGGCACACAAAUGAUGACUGUUUGUUUAAGGAGGCCUUUGCGCUGGCUUUUUCUUAGUGUGACUUGAAUGAAAUAAAUGAAGCCAGAUAUUGCUGCCUUACGCAAUAUUGCAGCAGGAUACGCCAAGUUCUUGUGAUGAGUACAAAUAAAUUCUUUAAGAAAAAGAAUUUGAUUCAGGCAAUUUGAAAACAACACGGUUUGAGUAGAAGUGAAGCACCAGGUGUCCAGAACAUGUCACUGGAAAGUUGAUCUUAUUUGCAUACAGGUGUGUGUGUGUGUGUGUGUGUGUGUGAGUCAGCAGCAUCAUGCUGCCCUGACCUGUGCAGUCACUCAUUUACUGACAAAGUAGAUUUAAAAAUAAUC